GACGGAGGAUGCAAGCGUUAUCCGGAAUUAUUGGGCGUAAAGCGUCCGCAGGUGGACAUACAAGUCUGCUGUCAAAGUGCAGAGCUUAACUCUGUAAAGGCGGUGGAAACUGUAGGUCUUGAGUAUGGUAGGGGUAGAGGGAAUUCCCGGUGUAGCGGUGAAAUGCGUAGAUAUCGGGAAGAACACCAGUGGCGAAAGCGACUUCCUGGCCUGUUCUUGACGCUGAGGCGCGAAAGCUAGGGUAGCAAACGGG
rnacentral:rRNA from 1 species